rnacentral:tRNA from 2 species
GGGGUGGUGAUCUAGCUUGGUAUGAUGCUAGCUUCGGGGGUUAGUUGACCUGGGUUCAAAUCCCAGCCACCCCA